UUUAGGGCUUUAUAGUAAUUUUGAAAGAGAGGGAAGAGCACGGCUAUGGCGGACAGGCCUAGGGCGAAUGGCGCGUCGUCGUCCUCCAUGCGCGAGCUCGUCUCGCCGCUCGCGAUCAAGCUCCAGCAAGUGUGGCUACAGACGCAGUUCCGCCCGUCGAGAGAUUCCAAUGCAGCAGUGGAUUUGCCGCUGCCGUCGCCUGGCGGAGCGGCUGGAUCGGUCGGCGAUGUUGGAAAUUUCUCGCCGUCGCCACCGACGCUCACCUCUCCGGUCAACGCCGCGGCCAUGGCAGUGGCGGGCACUCCGUCGUCAUCCUCGGAGAGUGGCGAUGAUAGCUGGGGUUGCGUCGCGAUGGAACCCCGCGUGUCUGGGGUCGACGAGAAUGCGGUGCUGCAGUACAUCGACAGCAUGCUCAUGGAGAACCAGAUCGGGGAGCAAGCGUGCCUGGAUCUGGAGGUGAGCGUCGGCGCGCUCCAGGCAGAGCUCGCGGAGCUGAUCCAGACCUCGCCGCCCGAGGUAAGCCCGAAUCUCGACUGGAGGAGCGAUAUUUCGAGCAGCGCCGGCUAUGGUGCCUCGCAGCCAUCGCCGUCGCAGCUUCCACCGGCCCCGCAGGGAUCAUCGUCGCGAAGGAACUCCCCCUCCUCGCUCCUGGGUUCUUGGACAUCGCAGCCUUCCUUCGCCGUGGAUAAUCCUUCUACUUCGUCCUUGCAUCACCACCAAGAAAACACUGUGGAGAGGAAUCGAGAGAGCUUGCAGCCAUCGCCCAGCCUUAAGAAGCGGAGCCACGGGGAGACGAGCGCCAGUGGCAGUGGCUUCCAGAUGGUGGGAUUUUUCGAGCGCCAGAACCUCUUUGGGCUGGAUUGGAACGGCAGGUCGAAUGGAAUUGCAGCAGCGGGGGCGACGACGCAGGGAUUUCCCAACCGGCCUCCCAGGCUGAUCGUACAGAGGAGCGAGAACUACACUCGGCUGUGGGAUAGAAUGGGGCUCAGGAGUCAUCUCCUGGACAAGCUGGUGCUGUGCGGCGAGGCGGUGUGGAGCGACGACUUCGGCAGCGCUUUGGCGAUCAUGGAGGAGCUCCGGGAGCAAGCCGGACCCGAGGGCGACGCGACGCAGCGGGUAGUUCAUUACUUCCUACAUGCAUUGAACGCCCGGAUGAGCAACACGGGCUCCAGGUUCUACAGCGUCAUGUGUAAGGCGCGGCCUUCCAUCGCCGAGACGCUCAAGGCGGUCCAGAUGAUCCUCAAGCACACCCCCUUCCUCGGGCUGCCACAUUUCUUCACGAACCAGAUCAUCCUCGAGGCCAUCAAGGGCGAGCGCAAAGUACACAUUGUCGACUUUGGGAUCAUGUAUGGGCUCCAGUGGCCGGCGCUGCUCCAGCUCUUGGCGGAGAGGAAGGAGGGUCCCCCGCAGCUCCGGAUCACGGGGGUGGAUCUUCCACCCAGAGCGCUCAACAAUCACUCGGGGAGGAUACGAGAGACGGGGAGCCGGCUCAAGCGCUGCGCACAGGACUGGGGGAUUCCUUUCAAGUUCCGGUCUCUCUCGUGUGCAUGGGAGAGCAUGGAGCCGGGGUUGCUGCAGCUCAAGGACGACGAAGUUCUCAUCAUCAGCUGCUCGUUCAAGCAGACCAACUUGUUUGAUGGGUCGGUGAUCGCCGAGAGCCCGAAGCUCCAGUGGCUGACCCGGAUCCGGAACCUCCACCCGAAGGUUUUCAUCCAGUCGCUGGCCAGCUCCAACUUUGCGGGGCCGAUCUUCCUCCAGAGGUUCCAGGAGGCGCUCGUCCACCACGCGGCAGUGUUCGCGGCCAUGGACGCUUGCAUCUCGAGGAUGCUGCCCGAACGGCGGGUGAUCGAGCAGGACAAGUACGGGCGGGAGAUCAUGAACAUCAUCGCCUGCGAGGGGUUGGACAGGGUGGAGCGGUCCGAGACGCACCAGCAGUGGCACCACCUGGCCGUCAAGGCGGGGCUUGAGGUGAUACCGCUCAGCCCGGCCCUGUUCGAGGAGUCGAAAGCCUUCGCCAGGUUCUACAACAGGGAUCUCACAGUGAACAGGGACGGGGAAUGGAUGUGGCUGGGUUGGAGAGACCAGAUCAUCCAUGCGUACUCUGCAUGGCGUGCGGCAACGUGAGGGCAUGAUUGAAUUUCAAAGCUCGGUCCAUUACGGGGUGGCUCGCUGUUGCUGGAAUCGAUCGUUCACGCGUCUGCUAGCAUGGAAGGCACGCAUUGUUCGCUGGAUGGUCAAGAUUUGGAUCCCCGCCCAUAACUCGCUUUGGAACAAGUGUUGGCCGACAGCAUCUGUCAACAUCAAAGAUGAUGGUGUUACUUGUACGGGAAUCACUGGCUAAACAAACAGCUCUAGACAACGACGAUACAAACAAGCAGAGGGAAGUGCAUUUUUGCAAACAGUGUCGGCAGGAUUAAAGCAAGCACUCAGAUGAUUUAAUCAACAAGGAAGAGCACAGUUGCUGGAUUGCGCGCCUAGAGUUCUCAAAAGAGUGUGUAGCGCUCCUUUUGCGGGGCCAUGGAGUGAUGGUGUGCGCCACUAAACAAAUCAUGGAGGCACAACACAAGUGGGUCAAUGGAUCGACUCAACAGUGAGCCCAAGGCUGCUGUUCGUUUUUUGACUUUGACAAUACUGUGUGUUAGAAAAGGUGAAAGAAGUUUCAACAUGUCAAAUCGCGAAGGGCGGCAGUUUGGCCACGAGAGAAAAAAUAUUCUCUGUGUCCCUCGUGAUUUCGGCACUCGCUCUGGCAUCGCCGCAUACAAACAUCGUUCCAAUUGGGGACGUGGUGUUGCGGAGAACAAACGGAUCUAGCGCACGCCUCGGCGCAAGCAUCCAAAUCCGAGACCCCACACUCAGUGCGUCACAUCCAUUGCAAAGCUGCCCACUCGCUUCAUCAUCCGAUCCGACGCGCACACGCGCUUGCAAGCGAAUCGAUCCCGCAGGGAAUCCAAAUCCUGCGCGACGCCGCCACCGGAUCACCACGAGCCCUCAUCCUAUCCGCGCAACAAAGCAUAGAACCCGUUCGUUUGAUCAUGUCAGGAAAAAAAUACUAUGUUGAACAAAGUCGUGUUCAUUCCUUGACUUGGUUGACCGAAGUUUCAGGCUGCUCGCGGGUCUUGUGUUCGUUCUUUGACUUUACGAACUUUCCACAAGAAACCA